rnacentral:rRNA from 1 species
AGCAGCCGCGGUAAUUCCAGCUCCAAUAGCGUAUAUUAAAGUUGUUGCAGUUAAAAAGCUCGUAGUUGAAUUUCGGGGUUAGUAGAUUGGUCAUGCCUCUGGUAUGUACUGGUCUCACCGAUUCCUCCUUCCUGAUGAACCUUAAUGCCAUUAAUUUGGUGUUUUGGGGAAUUUGGACUGUUACUUUGAAAAAAUUAGAGUGUUUAAAGCAAGCUAACGCUUGAAUACAUUAGCAUGGAAUAAUGAAAUAGGACGUUCGAUCCUAUUUUGUUGGUUUCUAGGAUUGACGUAAUGAUUAAUAGGGAUAGUUGGGGGCAUUAGUAUUCAAUUGUCAGAGGUGAAAUUCUUGGAUUUAUUGAAGACUAACUACUGCGAAAGCAUUUGCCAAGGAUGUUUUCAUUAAUCAAGAACGAAAGUUAGGGGAUCGAAGACGAUCAGAUACCGUCGUAGUCUUAACCAUAAACUAUGCCGACUAGGGAUCGGAUGAUGUUAAUUUUUUAAUGACUCA